AGAGUUUGAUCCUGGCUCAGAUUGAACGCUGGCGGCAGGCUUAACACAUGCAAGUCGAACGAUGAAAUCUAGCUUGCUAGAUGGAUUAGUGGCGAACGGGUGAGUAAUGCUUAGGAAUCUGCCUAUUAGUGGGGGAUAACCAUCCGAAAGGAUGGCUAAUACCGCAUACGUCUUACGAGAGAAAGGGGGCUUUUAGCUCUCGCUAAUAGAUGAGCCUAAGUCGGAUUAGCUAGUUGGUGGGGUAAAGGCCUACCAAGGCGACGAUCUGUAGCUGGUCUGAGAGGAUGAUCAGCCACACUGGGACUGAGACACGGCCCAGACUCUUACGGGAGGCAGCAGUGGGGAAUAUUGGACAAUGGGCGAAAGCCUGAUCCAGCCAUGCCGCGUGUGUGAAGAAGGCCUUUUGGUUGUAAAGCACUUUAAGUGGGGAGGAAAAGCUUGUGGUUAAUACCCAUUAGCCCUGACGUUACCCACAGAAUAAGCACCGGCUAACUCUGUGCCAGCAGCCGCGGUAAUACAGAGGGUGCAAGCGUUAAUCGGAAUUACUGGGCGUAAAGCGAGCGUAGGUGGUUACUUAAGUCAGAUGUGAAAGCCCCGGGCUUAACCUGGGAAUUGCAUCUGAUACUGGGUGACUAGAGUAGGUGAGAGGGAAGUAGAAUUCCAGGUGUAGCGGUGAAAUGCGUAGAGAUCUGGAGGAAUACCGAUGGCGAAGGCAGCUUCCUGGCAUCAUACUGACACUGAGGUUCGAAAGCGUGGGUAGCAAACAGGAUUAGAUACCCUGGUAGUCCACGCCGUAAACGAUGUCUACCAGUCGUUGGGUCUCUUGAAGACUUAGUGACGCAGUUAACGCAAUAAGUAGACCGCCUGGGGAGUACGGCCGCAAGGUUAAAACUCAAAGGAAUUGACGG
rnacentral:rRNA from 1 species